rnacentral:lncRNA from 1 species
AGCACAAUAUUCGGGUCGGAGUGACCCGAUUUUCCAGGCUCUAAGACAAUGGAAAAUUAUAUGAGAACAAGGGGUCAUGAUUUCUAGAGUGUGGAAGGAACCAUCAUUUCAGAAUCCACUGUCAUCCUUGAAGAAGUCAGGCCCUCAUUCAAGAUCAUUUGUUAUCAGAGACUGCUGAAGAGAAGUACAUGUACUGGAACAAAUAAUCGACUGCUGUGACAGAGCUAGCCAAAGGAUGAUUUCCCUUCCACAAUGUGAAAUUGUUUCUAGGAAGGAGCUGUCCAGCAAGGGACUGACUAUCCCAGGAGCCUUGCAUCUAGGGACAUGCCAGAGAUGAUGAUGCUCCACAGCACCAGAGUUCAAGCAAAACAGAAUGGUUGAUAUUUUUAUGUCACAUUCCUGAAGUGAGAAACUGAUUGGUCCAGUUGGUCUAUGGUAAAACACAGUAUCAUGAACAUGGACAUAGAGUCUGUCACCCUGCCCACUGUGGCUUCAGGAGUAAGAGAAAGAGCGUGAGUGGUGGAUUACAAAUAUACUUGAAAGGCCAUCUAUUGCAGGGAUUUCUUGCAAUAGUUGUACAUAAUAUUGACUCAUCACCUAGAAUUGUUCUGCCUCUUAUAUAUAUUUUUUAAUUUUUUAAAUUAUUUAAAUUUUUUGUGGGUACAUAGUAAGUGUAUGUAUUUAUGGGGUAUAUGAGAUGUUUUGAUACAGGCAUGCAAUGUGAAAUAAGCACAUCAUGAAGAAUGGGGUAUCUAUUCCCUCAAGCAUUUAUCCUUUGAGUUAUAAACAAUCCAAUUACAUUCUUUAGAUUAUUUUAAAAUAUGUAAUUACAUUAUUAUUUACUAUGAUCACUCUAUUGUGCUAUCAAAUAGUCUUAUUCAAUAUUUCUAUUUUUGUGCCCAUUAACCAUCCCCACCUUCCGCCAACCCCUCACUGGCGCUUAUAUGGUAAUCUUCAGUAUUUCAUCCUAUCACAGCCCGUCUCCCUAGCUUUUUUCACUUCCUAACUAACUACCACUACAAAUAUGCUCUUCAAAUGUAAUAUAUGCUCUUCAUAUAUUAUUUGACACUUCUCCUUCCUCCUUCUUCAUUAUUUUCUUCUACCACACUUCUUGUUCAAACCUACAAAUUGUCACUUCCAUGGUCUAAAAAUUAUACAUGACAACAGCGAGUGGAUUCAAUCAUCAUCUUUCUUUGCUAUACAACAGACUCUGAGCACUACCAGAAAAUGUUCUUAAAGCAAAUGGAUUGUUCAGAGGAUGAAGGUUUUAAAACUUUUAUAUUUUAUGUUCGACAAGAUGACGCUGUGCCUUACCCUUAUUCAUGAUCUUUUCUCAAGCCAAAAACUUUUAGCCUCUUCUUGAAUCUCUGACUCUAGGAAACCACCACUUUGUUACAGGGUGAUCUCUCUUAAACAUAAACCCACUCGUAUCCUUUCUUCGGCUUAAAAUAACUAAGAACUCAUUUCUACACUAAUUCACCAAGUCAAAAGUCCUCAGCAUUUUGUACAAGGCCCUUCAUGGAGUGUCUCCUACUUACCUCCUGACAUGAUACAUCUCCAUAUGCACCUCCUAUUUCAGCCAAACAAGUCACUGAGAGAUCUCAGGAAGCACUAGUCUCUCUCACCGUACUCUGUCUUUGCACUUCACAUUUCAUCGUUUUUGAAUGUCAUCUCUUCCAUCCUGUGUGUGAUGGGCUCCUCCUCACCCCCUCUAUACGGUCCACGUGUAACCUACUCCGAGAAGCCUUGCUGCCUCCCUUCCACUCCCAGACCACACUUACCCUAUUAGAGUUAAGUUAUUUCUCUUUUCUUCCACCUAGAGCUUCCUUUAUUUAUUUCUCUACUCCCUCUCUAGUCCCCAUCCUACAACUAUGCACCCUAGAGUGGAGAAUUUACAUCUCAAAACCUGAAAAAUAACAAUUAUCCCAAUAAUACUCAGCAAAUGUUUAUAGAAUGAAUGGACAGAUGGGCUUAUAAUAUGAAGAACAGGACAUUCAGUUUAGUUAAUUGGGGGCGUUGGAGACAAGUCGGGGUGCCUAUUACUCAGUAUGUAAUAUUCUGCUCUCUGGUUUGGUAAUUUCACUAAAAUCAAUAACCUAAACUCAACAACAAAAAGUCGUAGCCUGCUUCAAAGAGAGGAACAACCUUUCCUCAAGUUUGCUAUUUCAACAAUAAUUUAAGAAAAUCAUCUUUUUACUACCUGUAGGUGUCACAUGGGACUAACAUUGUGGUCUGUACCUUUUGCCUUCCUUCAUUCCCAGUAAGGAAAUAAAGGAGAUAUGCUGACAUUUUGAUAGAGUGGAAAUCAAUACCUAUAUUUCCAGCAUUACCUACGGAGACAGAGAGUUUUCCAGGCUGGCAGGCUUUACUGCAACCUCUGAAGGUGUUAACAUGUUAAGAGAAAGACUAUGUGGACCAGAGGAAGCAGAACCUUACAGAAGCAAAGGGAAAAAGGCAGAUACAAAGGAGAUCGCAGGUCUGUGUUUCACAAGCACCUGGGAUGUUUGUUUGAAAUGUUGAUGACUGGCCCCACCUCCAUCCUAGUAAAUCAGAAUCUCUGGGAAUAGAGUCCACAAAUUUGAAUUUUAGCAAGCUUCUUGGAUCUUUUUUCAGCCCAUUAACUUGUGGAAAUAUUAAUUCAGAUGUGACUUUCCCCAGAGCUGCAGGGGGAAGGGCCUCACUGUGGAGAUGAGCAUGUCAGACUGAGUAAACCCUGAUGCCCUUUAAACUAUCAGAUCACAAGUCUUACUUUCCAUGUUUUGAUUUCAUAUUUACAGCAUACUCUCUGACAAUUUAGUUUCCAUGCAGCUCAACCUACUGGAGGAAAUUGUGCAGGUAAAGCUCAUAUGGAUUUUGAUCCUUUUUACGAUCCUUUUUAUGACGUUUUCAUUGCAAAUUUACCAAUUAUCAAUGGUUGUUCCAUUUAAUAAUGUCUCAUUAGCUUUUUUCCUGUGAAUUGAAACUCCAAGUCUGAUCAAUUAGCUAAUAAUUCUUGAGCUAUAUUGAGCUUGUGAACAUGCAGGGUUGGAGAUGGACCUUGGAUUACCACUGUGUGUGUCUUUCUUAUGGAGCAUUCCUGGCCUCCUGCUGACAUCUUUUCUACCCCACUUCCAACUGUCUCAUCUUCCUCAAAUGCUUAUAAUGAAUUUGUAGUGGCUUUAUCUGAAGAAAUCAAUACUCAUAAAACAUCUACCCAUGUUGUACUAUUUUAUAGAGUCGGGUUAAAAAAUGAUGCUCCUUAAUAAAUUCAAAGACAGAAUCUACCUUCUAUCUUUCCUGUAGGGGUAAGGCCCAGCUCUGAAAGAAUAAUGUUUAACUAGUGGUGAUUUUGCCUGGUGAUUUUAACCAGGAGACAUUUGACAAUGUCUGGUGAUACUUUUGGUCCUCACAACAGCAAGAUGCUAUUGGCAUCUAGUGGAAGAGGCCAGGGAUGCUGCUGAACAUCUUAAAAUGCACAAGACAUCUCCCUACAAAAAAAUUAUUGGAAUUAUUGGGUACAGUGGUAGAAGAGACUCCUCUGUACCUUCUGCUCGAAUUUUAUACUUCUCUAAAAAGUGAAAUCUAUUAAAAAUUAUCUAGCCCCAAAUGUCAAUAGUACCAAGGUUGAGAAACCCUGUCCUGAAGGAAGCCAUGAGAGUUCUUUACUAAUUCUGAACCUACUUUCAAUUUUUAUGACAAUGCUAGCUAUUGUAAAGGAGAACAAUUUUGUAUACAUAUGCUUCCAAAGUGAGUUCAAAUGUACAUUUCUUUUUUUUCAAAUCAGAAGAUGAUGCUAUACUUUAGUAACAUAUGCUGCACAACAUCACCCUCAAGAUGAAGCCAUUUAGCUAUACCACAAAUAUGAGCCAUGCUGAGGUGAGAAUGAAAUUCACUUUUAAAUGAACAUACUUAUGCCAACAGAGGUAAACUAAAUUAGAAGUAUGCGAUGAGAAAUUUGGUCUCAGAAUUUGGCUAUGAGGGAUGACCUACUUUGUGGGGGGUGGGGGGGCUCAUUUUUGAUUUCCAGAAUCUGUGUGUUUCCCUCAUUGCAUGAGUCUUCCAUACCCACACAUCUUGUGGGCCAUAUGGUGCUCUUUUGGAAUGACUUUCAUUUGAUUUUCUCCUUUUCAGAGAUUUUUUUUUUUUAAAUUUUCACUCUGUCAGAAAGCACAGAGGUCCUUGAGGAAGGGUCUUUUGUCAAAAUGCUCUUCUUAGUAGUAGUGACCUUUGAUGAUUCCACUAGGAUUCUUAGCAGAAUAAUAUAUCUUCUGAAAAAAAAAGCAAAAAACAAACAGACAAAAAAACCAGAAGUAUAGCCUACUGGUGAAGCUUAGAGAAGCAUUUUAUAUAACUUGUUUGGAGGAAGGAAGGAACCCACUCUUCAUUUGGGGUUAGGACUUCAUUAGUUUCCUCAUGGGGAAAAUUCACAGAUUUCUUUUAGGCAGGGGUUGUGUGAUGGGGAAAAUGGGCAAGCACAGAGGUGAGUUAGGGGUUAAGGAUGGGAGAAUACAAACGUCACUUACUGGGGAGUUACUCACUGCAAACCUCAGGGCCAUGGAAGAAAGGCACUUGACAAAAUCACGUGUGACCUGAGAUGUUCAGCAGUGAGGAAGAUGAGAGAAAAUGGCUCACUACUUCUUACAAGGACCAACCCAAAUACGGGGGGACUUCAAAAAAUACAUGGAAAAAUGGAAUUAAAAGACAAAAAUUGCCAACUUUAUUUUUCAACAUAAGCCCCAUCAAGUUCGGGACACUUCUGAAAGCUAUGAUACCAGUCAUUUAGUCCAUCCUUAAAGAAAUGAGAGUUGGGAAUGUAGCCAUGUCAAUGCCAUCUUUUUUUACAUUAGUAACUGAAGAAAAAUGGUGCCCUUUAAAGAUUAGUUAAAUAUUAGGAAACAAAAGAAGUUAGCAGAAUUUAAAUCAAGACUGUAAGGUGAAAGCCUAACGAUUUUCCAUCAAAACUUUCACAAAAUUGCCCUUGUUUGAUGAAAGGAAUGAGCAAGAGCAUUGUCAUGGAGGAGGCAGACUCUCUGGUGAAGCUUUCCCAGGUGUUUUUCUUCUAAAACUUUGGCUAACUUCCUUCAAACACACUCAUAAUAAGCAGAUGUUAUUGUUUUUGCGUCCCACCCCCUGCUCCUGGAAAGUCAACACACAAAAUGCCUUGAGCAUCCCCAAAACUGCCGUGAUCUUUGUUCUUGAUUAAUCCACUUUUGCUUUGACUGGACCUCUUCCACCUCUUGGUAGCCAUUGCUUUGAUUGUGCUUGUCUUUGGGAUCAUACUAGUAAAGCCUUGUCUAUCUCCUGUUACAAUUCUUCAAAGAAAUGCUUCAGGAUCUUGAUCCUACUUGUUUAAAAUUUCAAUUGAAAACUCUGAUCUUGUCUGUAGCUCAAGUGGGCACAACAUUUUUGGCACUUACCAAGUGGAAAGUUUGCUCUGCUUUAAUUUUUAGUUCACAGCUGUGUAAGCUGAAUAAGUUAAGAUGCCUAUGGUGUUGGGCUACUGUUUCUGCUGUUAAUUGCUGGUCCUUUUCAAUUGGGACACAAACAAGAUGAGUGUUUCCUUGCAAGUAUGUGUGGAUGGUAUGGCACUGUGAGCUUCAUCUUCAACAAUAUCUCAUUCCCUCUUGAAAUGAGUUAUUCACUUGUAAACUGCUGAUUUAUUUGGGACAUUUUCCCCAUAAACUUUCAUAAAGCAUUAUUUAUUUCAUCAUUCUUCCACGCAAGUUUUACCAUAAAUUGAUGUUCAUUCUUGCUUUAAUUUUAGCAGAGUUCAUGUUGCUCUGAUUGGGGCUCUCUUGAAACUCAUAUCUUAUCCUUCUUAGUGGCUCAAAUUAGAUGCUGUUGAGGCAUGUUAUAAAAAGUUAGUACAAGUAUAUUUUGGUGCAAAAAAUUUAAAAUCCAUGCAUUUUUUCAGAAUAUAUAUUUGUUUUCUGUAAACUUUUAAACUAUCUAUUAGUAUUGAAAAUGCCAACAGGACAGCAGGAGAGACUCACGAUUAAUUAAAUACAAUUAAGGAGUGGAACUUACUGUACCAAAACAGAACCUGCUCACUUCCCAGAAAGCCUGCCCAGACUUUUAGUUUUCCAUCCAUUGGUCUUCUUUAAAUGUAAUUUUUCAGCUUCAGUGUAACACUCAUUUGCAGAUGAAGCUGGGCUGAAGCACUCUGUUUUCUUCUGGCAGGAUAACACCUCUGUGUGGUCUGUUACAUUUGUUGUCUGCUUAAGACCUUUCCACCAUUGUAUCUGCUUACAAUUGGUGAAACUCCUGUUUGGUAAGUUGCUUCUCAGUAGAAAUGCAAUCAUAGCCAUUAUCUGUAGGAUGGCACCUUCUCUACUGUUUAGUGUUUUGGAUUAGUGGAAGAGCUUUCCCAGUUGAUAGUUUGCUAUCACCUACUCAAAGCCAGGCAGCCUUUUAGCCAAUUUCAACAUGCUGCUGCAGGCAAAGAGACACAAAUCUGAAAUCCAGGAAAAUUAAGAAGCCAUUUAAAAUCUCUUCUACAAUGGCUCACACCAGUGUCAAAAAGGGUUUACAUUCAUAUCACUGAGAAAAUAACUUUAAAACCUCUUUUCCCCUAUCUCUCUGAUUCUUUAUUCAGGCAUACAAGCUGUUGGGAAAUUUCUCUUCUCUAUCCUCCAAAACUCUAUAAACCCAGUCCAUGUUAGGUUGAGUACCUCCUACCAUCUUUCUGGAUCUUUUAAGCUGUCCAUCAAAUGCUGUUCUUCCGUUCUAAUCUAGAUUGGUCUAGCUUUCAAAGCAUUUUUCAGUUUUCCUUUCUAUCCAUUACAUGAACAACAAAACUGUCACGUGCCAGGCAAUGAGAAUUUGCUACUUUUGAAAGUUAUUUCAAAGAUAAAAGCUUAGCAAAUCCAUACUUUCCCCGCAAAAUCACAUGAACGUGCUCACAGUGACAAGGCACCCUGCACUCUGUUCUUUUUGAGGAGAAAAUGACAAUUAAUUCUCAUGUCAAAUUGUUAAAAGUAUGUCUACACAGGAUUAAUAUUUUGGUGGCCCAGAGCAGAAAAAUGCAUUUUAGCAAAUCGCCUAGAAAGAGUGAUUCCAUUCUAUGAAUAGGUUCUUGAAGUUCUUAUUGGUACUGACUGUCAAAGCUGUAGAGUUUCUUUCUUUCUUGAUGUCUUAAUGUAACUAAUUUCUAGACAGAAAGGAAGGCAUGUCCAGGCUUCUCUCAAAAAGGAUCAUCUUGUUAAUUCUUUCAUGAAUUAAUCCUGUGGGUGAUUAGCAAUUCAGGAGCAGGUGUUCAGUUGAGCCUCUGGAGGACCUAUGCCCUUUUCAACUCAGAGGAAGUCCUAGACUGGCUAGGAUUUUAGAGAUAAUGGCAGAACCAAGGGCUGAAAGCCUAUGAUGGGAGGCAUUCUGUCUCACCAACUGGUGAGAAGAACAGAGUGCCUUGCUACUAUUUGUGUGUGUGUAUGUUUGUGUGCCUGUGUCAUGUGUGUAUGUGUGUGUGUGUGUGUGUGUGUGUGUGUGUGUGUGUGUGUGUGUAUUUUGUAAAGUACAGCUUUGCUUACCCUUUUUUUUGGAUGGAGUUUUGCUUCUGUUGCCCAGGCUAGAGUGCAAAUGCGCGAUCUAGGCUCACUCUAAUCUCUGUUUCCCGGGCUUGAGUGAUUCUCCUGCCUCAGUCUCCCCAGUAGCUAGAAUUAUAGGCGUGCAUCACCACACCUGGCUAUUCUUUGUAUUUUUAGUAGAGACGGGGUUUCAGCAUGUUGACCAGGCUGGUCUCAAACUCCUGACCUCAGGUGAUUCGCCUGCUUCAGCCUCCCAAAGUGUUGGGAUUACAGGUGUGAGCCACUGUGCCUGGCCUGCUUACCCUUAUUAUUAAAAUCACAAAAUUUUAAAGUGCUAAAUUAAAUGAUACAUUUAGUACUGUAGGAGUUCAGGUAUCUGGGAGAUAAAAGCAAGUUGUGUUAGUUCUGGAGACAAAUCAGGCCUUGAAUGAGACAGGGAGAAGAACUAAAGACCUAAUCAUAAUCUCUUUUUUACAUACUUUCAAUUUUUAAAAUUUGAAUAAAAGUAUGCAAAUAUUAAAAAUGGGCCAGGCGCAGUGGCUCACACUUGUAAUCCCAGCACUUUGGGAGGCCUAGGUGGGCAGAUCACGAGGUUAGGAGGACUUCGAGACCAGCCUGGCCAACACAGUGAAAUCCCGUCUCUACUAAAAAUUCAAAAAUUAGUUGGGAAUGGUGGCAGACGCCUGUAAUCCCAGCUACUCAGGAGGCUGAGGCAGGAGAAUCGCUUGAACCUGGCAGACAGGGGUUGUAGUAAGCCGAGAUCA